CGAGCCGGCCGGGCAGCCGCUCCGCGCCCCGCGCGCGGGGAGGAAAGUCCGGGCUCCACAGGGCAGGGUGCCAGGUAACGCCUGGGGGGCGCGAGCCCACGGAAAGUGCCACAGAGAACAGACCGCCGAUGGCCCCGUCCCCGGGGCACAGGCAAGGGUGAAACGGUGCGGUAAGAGCGCACCGCGCGGGCGGCAACGUCCGCGGCACGGCAAACCCCACCCGGAGCAAGACCAAAUAGGGGAGCGAUCGUGUGGCCCGCACGGCUCCCGGGUAGGUCGCAGGAGGCGUGCGGCGACGCACGUCCCAGAUGAAUGGCUGCCGCCCCGCCCGCCCGGGCGGGGAACAGAACCCGGCUUACAGGCCGGCUCGCACC
rnacentral:RNase_P_RNA from 1 species